rnacentral:rRNA from 1 species
CGCUCCGCCCGGUCCCAUUCCGAACCCGGAAGCUAAGCCCUUCAGCGCCGAUGGUACUGCACUCGACAGGGUGUGGGAGAGUAGGACACCGCCGAAC